GGGGACAGAACCCAGGGUGCCCUUCCACCCAGGUACAUUCCUAGCCCAUUUUUUAUUUGGGGCAGAGUCUUGCUAAAUUGCUAGGCGGAACUAAAAUUUGCAAUCCUCCUGCCUCAGGUGCUGGGAUUGCAGGGCUGCACCACCAGGCCUGGCUCUGGCCAGGAUGAAUUUUAAAGGUCACCGAUUCAGAGAGAGCAGCCUGAAGAGCAGGCGCGCGGUAUGGCGUGUGAGGCCCUGCGUGGGGGCCUCUGGGGAAGCCGGUGAGUCAGCCGCCUUCUCUCUAAUAGCGUUCACCUCCGCGCGAGGAGUAAUAGGAGAGGCCGUCAUUAGCCAAGGUGUGAGUAACAGGGUUCAAACUCAAGAGGGACUCGGUGUGUUCCGCUGGGGAAGGGUGAGCUGGGGCUCUUCCCUGCCUGCGGAGGAGGCGCAGACCGCGGAGUCCAAGCCCAGGGACGGCGAUGAGUCCCUUAGACACCGGCCCAGGACGGAGACCCACAGGAACACGUCUGGGAGACCCUUCACCAGUAAUGGGGUCCUGCCUGCUGCAGGGUCGGGGGUGCAAGGUCGCGUGUCCCUGGCUUAUAGGGACGCUGAUUCUCGGGCUUAAAGUCUCUGUCUUCCCUCCUGGCAGUUCACCUGGGCCACCUUUGCACAGGUUGAGGAAUGUGGCGUGGACACAGAGCGAACAUGAGCCUGCUCUUCUGCACUCCCUUUCGUCAGAGCGGAGGUGGUGCCGGGAGGAGGAGCCAUCUGUGGAGUCCAAGCAGCAAUGUGUGACUAGCAUUUGCAGGCGCCGUGUGCGUGGCCAGAAACGGACACUACGUGGCCCUGCUUGGGCCUCUAUGGUGGCAGGGCCUAGGGCAUGGAGAAAUGAGCCAGAGAAGGGGCCGUGAAAGUCUUGAAAGUAGACUUGACAUUCGUGGAGGAGCUUGGUGUGCUGAGACGCAGGACCACCAGCAGUCAAGGCUCCUGAAAAGGACCUGGAGCUUUUAGAAAAGUGGAAUCAGCAUCAGUCUGAACAAAUGGGCUUGGGGCCCAGCAACCAGGUUGGACAACUCAGGACGACAGAGACUUAGGUCUGUGUGAUCUCAAGGGCCGAGCUCAACCUGGAGUCUGCGGGGGAAGCCUUGAACAUUCCCCCACAUAUUUCUGGCUUCCGUCCAGCCUAGCGUAGAAAGUGGUGGUCAGGAUGUUCUGAACACCAGCCUCUCUCCACCCGAGCCCCAGGCCCUCACUUCUGAAGAUGAGCAUAGGACAUCACUUAGUUGUCCUAGACAAAAAUAACCCAGAGUGCUGCCUGCUCUCUCACCCUGUGAACAGCCAGGGCCCAGGCUAUGACUAAGUCUGCUGGGGGAAUCCAGAGGCCAGGACCCUUGCAAUGCUGGAGUCUAAAGGCUCCUGGGUCCUAAAGCUUCCUCUGUUUCCAAUAAGAUUUGUCUGAGAUAUUUCCCCAAUAAUUAGCUAAGCAAAGAGGAAAAGAGCACAUCAUUUUAUAAAAAUCUUUUUUUGUCUGUUUUUUUUUUACAGUGCUGGGGAUCAAAAUCAGGGCCUUGCAUGUGUCAUGUUUCAGUAGUAAAACACUACUGGACUGCCCCCUUACCCCUUAAGAGAGCUUUCAGGUAUGAAUGAUGGGUCCUUGGGAGGCUGAGGCAGGAGGAUCACAGCCUGGGCAAGUUGGUGGGACCCUACCUCAAAAGCAAAGCAAAACAGGCUGGGAUGUAGCUCAGUGGCAGAGGCUUUCCCUAGCAUAUAUGAGGCCCUGGGUACAAUCUCCACACACAACCCCCCAAGAAUAAAGAGCAUGUUUUUACUAUGCAAUCAAUUCUUGAGAAAUCUGGGGUAGGAAUUCUCCCAUUUUAGAAAUCUCCAGCUUCUUUUCUCCCAGACUCCUCUUUAUUCAUUCCUUCAGCAAAUAUUCCAUCUGUGGGAGACCAGGCCCUGGGUGAAGCGCAUGCACAGUCGAGAAGAGCCCGUUUCUUGUAUAAUAUUAGCCAGACUGACUCCGAGAUUUAACAUAGCAGUCAGGAAAAGAAGGGUACUAAUGAAAUAUUUGCCACACAAUUUCAACAUCCCAGGAAAUAAUGCUGUGGGUUCAAUCAGUCACUCUGGUGGUAGGUGAGGGAGCCCUUUAAAAGCAGGCAUCAGCAGAAGGGAAGGAUUCUUCAAGACUGGUUGUUUUUACAGACACCUCAAUCUGGUACAUUUCCUACGAAAAGAGUAUCCUUUUCUUUCAACAUUUGAGAAGUAUAAGUGAGCAUCAGUUUUAGAGAGGAACAGAAGAACAAAGCUCCCUUUCUGUAUUAACAAUAGAGUAGCUUAAUGUUGUUUUUUAAAGUUUCUACUGACCUGAAAAACACCGAGAGCUACGAAAUUGGAUUCGGAGUUGGAGGGUGAAGGAAUCCCGGAGCUGUGGGUGUGCAGCCACAUCAACAACAGAAACAAAUGACCAAG
rnacentral:lncRNA from 1 species